CUAGGAAUCUGCCUGGUAGUGGGGGAUAACGUUCGGAAACGGACGCUAAUACCGCAUACGUCCUACGGGAGAAAGCAGGGGACCUUCGGGCCUUGCGCUAUCAGAUGAGCCUAGGUCGGAUUAGCUAGUUGGUGGGGUAAUGGCUCACCAAGGCGACGAUCCGUAACUGGUCUGAGAGGGUGAUCAGUCACACUGGAACUGAGACACGGUCCAGACUCCUACGGGAGGCAGCAGUGGGGAAUAUUGGACAAUGGGCGAAAGCCUGAUCCAGCCAUGCCGCGUGUGUGAAGAAGGUCUUCGGAUUGUAAAGCACUUUAAGUUGGGAGGAAGGGUUGUAGAUUAAUACUCUGCAAUUUUGACGUUACCGACAGAAUAAGCACCGGCUAACUCUGUGCCAGCAGCCGCGGUAAUACAGAGGGUGCAAGCGUUAAUCGGAAUUACUGGGCGUAAAGCGCGCGUAGGUGGUUUGUUAAGUUGGAUGUGAAAUCCCCGGGCUCAACCUGGGAACUGCAUUCAAAACUGACUGACUAGAGUAUGGUAGAGGGUGGUGGAAUUUCCUGUGUAGCGGUGA
rnacentral:rRNA from 1 species